rfam:Myotis brandtii contig157613, whole genome shotgun sequence.
GGCCUCCCUCUGUGGGGUGAUCGAUCACGGGGCCCUCAGAUCAAUCACCCCGCAGAGGGAGGCC